rnacentral:rRNA from 1 species
GAGGUAGAGGCUCACCAGGGCGACGAUGCGUAGCCGGCCUGAGAGGGUGGACGGCCACACUGGGACUGAGACACGGCCCAGACUCCUACGGGAGGCAGCAGUAGGGAAUUUUCGGCAAUGGGCGAAAGCCUGACCGAGCAACGCCGCGUGAAGGAAGAAGGUUUUCGGAUCGUAAAGUUCUGUCGUUAGGGAAGAACGGCGCCUGUAGGGAAUGACAGGCGAGUGACGGUACUUUAUGAGGAAGCCACGGCUAACUAC